GGGAAAUGGCCGUUCCAAACGCUGGUAGUCAAAUCUGCACUCAUUCAGCGAAACUCUUCAUCACAGCCAAAUGACAGCUAAAUGGUAACCAAUUCUAUGCUUGUGUGUUCAUCCUUUAGCCGUAUAGUGAUUGUCUGCAUUUGUGUUUGACAUAGCUUGUGUGACUUCCCAUAUUGGCAUAUCUGAUUCUGGCUAAACUUUAUUGACUGCGUAAAUUUAAAGCGGUCGGUUUCAGCCAGAGGC